rnacentral:rRNA from 1 species
UUAGAGUUUUGNNUCCUGGCUCAGAUUGAACGCUGGCGGCAGGCCUAACACAUGCAAGUCGAGCGGAUGAGUGGAGCUUGCUCCAUGAUUCAGCGGCGGACGGGUGAGUAAUGCCUAGGAAUCUGCCUGGUAGUGGGGGAUAACGUUUCGAAAGGAACGCUAAUACCGCAUACGUCCUACGGGAGAAAGUGGGGGAUCUUCGGACCUCACGCUAUCAGAUGAGCCUAGGUCGGAUUAGCUAGUUGGUGGGGUAAUGGCCCACCAAGGCGACGAUCCGUAACUGGUCUGAGAGGAUGAUCAGUCACACUGGAACUGAGACACGGUCCAGACUCCUACGGGAGGCAGCAGUGGGGAAUAUUGGACAAUGGGCGAAAGCCUGAUCCAGCCAUGCCGCGUGUGUGAAGAAGGUCUUCGGAUUGUAAAGCACUUUAAGUUGGGAGGAAGGGCAGUAAGUUAAUACCUUGCUGUUUUGACGUUACCAACAGAAUAAGCACCGGCUAACUUCGUGCCAGCAGCCGCGGUAAUACGAAGGGUGCAAGCGUUAAUCGGAAUUACUGGGCGUAAAGCGCGCGUAGGUGGUUCAGCAAGUUGGAUGUGAAAGCCCCGGGCUCAACCUGGGAAUUGCAUCCAAAACUACUGAGCUAGAGUACGGUAGAGGGUGGUGGAAUUUCCUGUGUAGCGGUGAAAUGCGUAGAUAUAGGAAGGAACACCAGUGGCGAAGGCGACCACCCUGGACUGAUACUGACCACUGAGGUGCGAAAAGCGUGGGAGCAA